GCCUCGGGAAGGGUGCUGGAUGCUGCAAAUCUCGGAUAGAAGUGGAAGUGGAUUGGGGGCCCAGAGAGGUUAGAAAAG
rnacentral:ribozyme from 1 species